AUUGAACGCUGGCGGCAGGCCUAACACAUGCAAGUCGAACGAGUGGCGGACGGGUGAGUAAUGUCUGGGAAACUGCCUGAUGGAGGGGGAUAACUACUGGAAACGGUAGCUAAUACCGCAUACCAUCGGAUGUGCCCACAUGGGAGUGGCUAGUUGGUGGGGUAACGGCUCACAAAGGCGACGAUCCCUAGCUGGUCUGAGAGGCUGACCAGCCACACUGGAACGGAGACACGGGCCAGACUCCUACGUGAGGCAGCAGUGGGGAAUAUUGCACAAUGGGCGCAAGCCUGAUGCAGCCAUGCCGCGUGUAUGAAGAAGGCUUUCGGGUUGUAAAGUACUUUCAGCGGGGAGGCGUUACCCGCAGAAGAAGCACCGGCUAACUCCGUGCCAGCAGCCGCGGUAAUAC
rnacentral:rRNA from 1 species